UUUAUAGUGGCAGAAAUAUAUGCGUAGGUUUUAAGCACCUAAAAUUAAGUAUACCUUCUAUUUUCUAUAGGU
rnacentral:tRNA from 1 species